rnacentral:lncRNA from 1 species
AAUAAAUGGAGAUAAAGGAUAGAUCUUACCAAAUGUGCAGUGCUUGAGAUAAUUAAGGAAGAAAUUUUUUAAAGAUCUAAACUAUUCAGCUUAUAGCUCUUGAUAUCGGAAACAAUAUACUGAAAUUUUAUCAAAAUCAAGAUACGAUCAACCAUCCGAUCAUCUGAUAAAGUGGCACCAAAAUCUCUUUUUUUUUCUUCCCUGUUGCUGCUACUUCUGAUUUUUUCACGCC